GAUGAACGCUGGCGGCGUGCCUAAUACAUGCGAGUCGAGCGAACAGAUAAGGAGCUUGCUCCUUUGACGUUAGCGGCGGACGGGUGAGUAACACGUGGGUAACCUACCUAUAAGACUGGAAUAACUCCGGGAAACCGGGGCUAAUGCCGGAUAACAUUUAGAACCGCAUGGUUCUAAAGUGAAAGAUGGUUUUGCUAUCACUUAUAGAUGGACCCGCGCCGUAUUAGCUAGUUGGUAAGGUAACGGCUUACCAAGGCAACGAUACGUAGCCGACCUGAGAGGGUGAUCGGCCACACUGGAACUGAGACACGGUCCAGACUCCUACGGGAGGCAGCAGUAGGGAAUCUUCCGCAAUGGGCGAAAGCCUGACGGAGCAACGCCGCGUGAGUGAUGAAGGUCUUCGGAUCGUAAAACCCUGUUAUUAGGGAAGAACAAAUGUGUAAGUAACUGUGCACGUCUUGACGGUACCUAAUCAGAAAGCCACGGCUAACUACGUG
rnacentral:rRNA from 1 species